UGGGGAAUUUUGGACAAUGGGCGAAAGCCUGAUCCAGCAAUGCCGCGUGUGUGAAGAAGGCCUUCGGGUUGUAAAGCACUUUUGUCCGGAAAGAAAUCCUUGGCUCUAAUACAGUCGGGGGAUGACGGUACCGGAAGAAUAAGCACCGGCUAACUACGUGCCAGCAGCCGCGGUAAUACGUAGGGUGCAAGCGUUAAUCGGAAUUACUGGGCGUAAAGCGUGCGCAGGCGGUUUGCUAAGACCGAUGUGAAAUCCCCGGGCUCAACCUGGGAACUGCAUUGGUGACUGGCAGGCUAGAGUAUGGCAGAGGGGGGUAGAAUUCCACGUGUAGCAGUGAAAUGCGUAGAGAUGUGGAGGAAUACCGAUGGCGAAGGCAGCCCCCUGGCAAGUACUGACGCUCAUGCACGAAAGCGUGGGGGAGCAAACAGGAUUAGAUACCCUGGUAGUCCACGCCCUAAANGAUGUCAACUAGUUGUUGGGGAUUCAUUUCCUUAGUAACGUAGCUAACGCGUGAAGUUGACCGCCUGGGGAGUACGGUCGCAAGAUUAAAACUCAAAU
rnacentral:rRNA from 1 species